AGUUGGUGGGGGAGCCAUGAGAUAAGAGCACCUCCUAGAGAAUGUUGAACUAAAGGUGCCCUCUCUGGCUCCUCCCCAAAG
ensembl:miRNA MIR4723 microRNA 4723